rnacentral:rRNA from 1 species
UACGUAGGGUGCAAGCGUUGUCCGGAAUUAUUGGGCGUAAAGAGCUCGUAGGCGGUUUGUCGCGUCUGCUGUGAAAACUCGGGGCUUAACCCCGGGCCUGCAGUGGGUACGGGCAGACUAGAGUGCGGUAGGGGAGACUGGAAUUCCUGGUGUAGCGGUGAAAUGCGCAGAUGUCAGGAGGAACACCGGUGGCGAAGGCGGGUCUCUGGGCUGUAACUGACGCUGAGGAGCGAAAGCGUGGGGAGCGAACAGG